CUCAGAACGAACGCUGGCGGCGUGCCUAACACAUGCAAGUCGAGCGCGAACGUCCCUUCGGGGAUUAGUAGAGCGGCGCACGGGUGAGUAACACGUGGCUAACCUGCCCUUCAGUUCGGAAUAACCCGGGGAAACUCGGGCUAAUGCCGGAUACGUUCCUUGGAGGAAAGUGGGGGCUCUCUUCGGAGACCUCAUGCUGAAGGAUGGGGCCGCGGUCCAUCAGGUAGUUGGUGGGGUAAUGGCCUACCAAGCCUAAGACGGAUAGCUGGUCUGAGAGGAUGAUCAGCCACACUGGAACUGAGACACGGUCCAGACUCCUACGGGAGGCAGCAGUGGGGAAUCUUGCGCAAUGGGCGAAAGCCUGACGCAGCAACGCCGUGUGUGCGAUGAAGGCCCUCGGGUCGUAAAGCACUGUCAGUAGGGAAGAUGGUUUGCUUCACGAAUAGUGGAGUGAAUUGACGGUACCUGUGGAGGAAGCACCGGCUAACUCUGUGCCAGCAGCCGCGGUAAGACAGAGGGUGCAAGCGUUGUUCGGAAUUAUUGGGCGUAAAGCGCGCGUAGGCGGCCAUGUAAGUCGGAUGUGAAAGCCCGGAGCUCAACUUCGGAAGUGCAUCCGAAACUGCAUGGCUUGAAUCCUGGAGGGGGCAGUGGAAUUCCCGGUGUAGAGGUGAAAUUCGUAGAUAUCGGGAGGAACACCAGUGGCGAAGGCGACUGCCUGGACAGUGAUUGACGCUGAGGUGCGAAAGCGUGGGUAGCAAACAGGAUUAGAUACCCUGGUAGUCCACGCCGUAAACGAUGAGUACUAGGUGUUGCGGGUAUUGACCCCCGCAGUGCCGUCGCUAACGCAUUAAGUACUCCGNCUGGGAAGUACGGCCGCAAAGGCUAAAACUCCAAGGAAUUGACGGGGGCCCGCACAAGCGGUGGAGUAUGUGGUUUAAUUCGACGCAACGCG
rnacentral:rRNA from 1 species